rnacentral:rRNA from 1 species
AGAGCGAACGCUGGCGGCAGGCUUAACACAUGCAAGUCGAGCGCCCCGCAAGGGGAGCGGCAGACGGGAGAGUAACACGUGGGAACGUACCUUUCGGUUCGGAACAACCCAGGGAAACUUGGGCUAAUACCGGAUACGCCCGCAAGGGGAAAGAUUUAUCGCCGGAAGGUCGGCCCGCGUCUGAUUAGCUAGUUGGUGAGGUAACGGCUCACCAAGGCGACGAUCAGUAGCUGGUCUGAGAGGAUGAUCAGCCUCACUGGGACUGAGGCACGGCCCAGACUCCUACGGGAGGCAGCAGUGGGGAAUAUUGGACAAUGGGCGCAAGCCUGAUCCAGCCAUGCCGCGUGGGUGAUGAAGGCCCUAGGGUUGUAAAGCCCUUUCGGCGGGGAAGAUAAUGACGGUACCGCAGAAGAAGCCCGGCUAACUUCGUGCCAGCAGCCGC